rnacentral:rRNA from 1 species
AACGAACGCUGGCGGCAUGCCUAACACAUGCAAGUCGAACGAGACCUUCGGGUCUAGUGGCGCACGGGUGCGUACCGCGUGGGAACCUGCCCUUAGGUUCGCAAUAACUCCCCGAAAGGGGUGCUAAUACCGGAUAAUCUCUUCGGGCCAAAGAUUUAUCGCCUUUGGAUGGGCCCGGGUUAGAUUCGCUAGUUGGUAGGGUAAAAGCCUACCAAGGCGGCGAUGCAUAGCUGGUCGGAGAGGAUGACCCGCCACGCUGGGACUGAGACACGGCCCAGAAUCGGACGGGAGGGAGCAGUGGGGAAUAUUGGACAAGGGGCGAAAGUCUAACCCAGCAAUGCCGCGUGAGUGAUGAAGGGCUUAGGGUUGUAAAGCUCUUUUACCCGGGAUGAUAAUGACAGUACCGGGAGAAUAAGCUCCGGCUAACUACGUG